rnacentral:rRNA from 1 species
CUUGUCCUCUCGCGCAUUUGAGAAGCCCAGGUGAGAUUAGCUAGUUGGUGAGGUAAAGGCUCACCAAGGCGACGAUCUCUAGCUGUUUUGAGAGGAAGAUCAGCCACACUGGAACUGAGACACGGUCCAGACUCCUACGGGAGGCAGCAGUGGGGAAUAUUGCACAAUGGGGGAAACCCUGAUGCAGCCAUGCCGCGUGUGUGAAGAAGGCCUUCGGGUUGUAAAGCACUUUCAGUUGUGAGGAAAGGUUAGUAGUUAAUACCUGCUAGCUGUGACGUUAGCAACAGAAGAAGCACCGGCUAACUCCGUGCCAGCAGCCGCGGUAAUACGGAGGGUGCGAGCGUUAAUCGGAAUUACUGGGCGUAAAGCGCACGCAGGCGGUUUGUUAAGCUAGAUGUGAAAGCCCCGCGCUCAACGUGGGAUGGUCAUUUAGAACUGGCAGACUAGAGUCUUGGAGAGGGGAGUGGAAUUUCUGGUGUAGCGGUGAAAUGCGUAGAUAUCAGAAGGAACAUCAGUGGCGAAGGCGACUCCCUGGCCAAAGACUGACGCUCAUGUGCGAAAGUGUGGGUAGCGAACAGGAUUAGAUACCCUGGUAGUCCACACCGUAAACGCUGUCUACUAACUGUGUGUGAAUUUAAUUCGUGCGUAGUGAAGCUAACGCGCUAAGUAGACCGC